GACGAACGCUGGCGGCGUGCUUAACACAUGCAAGUCGAACGGAAAGGCCCUGCUUUUGUUGCUUGCUCGUUUGGCGAACGGGUGAGUAACACGUGAGUAACCUGCACUUGACUUUGUGAUAACUUCAGGAAACUGGGGCUAAUACCGGAUAUGAGCUCCGGCUGCAUGGUGUUGUAUGGAAAGUUUCGGCUGUUGGGGAUGUACUCGCGGCUUAUCAGCUUGUUUGUGGGGUAGUGGCUUACCAAGGCUUUGACGGGUAGCCGGCCUGAGAGGGUGACCGGCCACCUUGGGACUGAGAUACGGACCAGAAUCCUAUGGGAGGCAGUAGUGGGGAAUAUUGCACAGUGGGCGGAAGCCUGAUGCAGAGACGCCGCGUGCGGGAUGACGGCCUUCGGGUUGUAAACCGCUUUCGCCUGUGACGAAGAGUGAGUGACGGUAAUGGGUAAAGAAGCACCGGCUAACUACGUG
rnacentral:rRNA from 1 species